rnacentral:rRNA from 1 species
AUUGAACGCUGGCGGAAUGCUUUACACAUGCAAGUCGAACGGCAGCACGGACUUCGGUCUGGUGGCGAGUGGCGAACGGGUGAGUAAUGUAUCGGAACGUGCCCAGUCGUGGGGGAUAACGUAGUGAAAAUUACGCUAAUACCGCAUACGAUCUAUGGAUGAAAGCGGGGGAUCGCAAGACAUCGCGCGAUUGGAGCGGCCGAUAUCAGAUUAGGUAGUUGGUGGGGUAAAGGACCACCAAGCCAACGAUCUGUAGCUGGUCUGAGAGGACGACCAGCCACACUUGAACUGAGACACGGUCCAGACUCCUACGGGAGGCAGCAGUGGGGAAUUUUGGACAAUGGGCGAAAGCCUGAUCCAGCCAUUCCGCGUGCAGGAUGAAGGCCCUCGGGUUGUAAACUGCUUUUGUACAGAACGAAAAGGUUUCUACUAAUACUAGGAGCUCAUGACGGUACUGUAAGAAUAAGCACCGGCUAACUACGUGCCAGCCGCCGCCGUAA